UACGGGGGGGGCAAGCGUUGUUCGGAAUUACUGGGCGUAAAGGGCUCGUAGGCGGCCAACUAAGUCAGACGUGAAAUCCCUCAGCUUAACUGGGGAACUGCGUCUGAUACUGGAUGGCUUGAGAUUGGGAGAGGGAUGCGGAAUUCCAGGUGUAGCGGUGAAAUGCGUAGAUAUCUGGAGGAACACCGGUGGCGAAGGCGGCAACCUGGACCAACGCUGACGCUGAGGAGCGAAAGCCAGGGGAGCAAACGGG
rnacentral:rRNA from 1 species